rnacentral:rRNA from 1 species
GGUUAAGCGACUAAGCGUACACGGUGGAUGCCCUGGCAGUCAGAGGCGAUGAAGGACGUGCUAAUCUGCGAUAAGCGUCGGUAAGGUGAUAUGAACCGUUAUAACCGGCGAUUUCCGAAUGGGGAAACCCAGUGUGAUUCGUCACACUAUCAUUAACUGAAUCCAUAGGUUAAUGAGGCGAACCGGGGGAACUGAAACAUCUAAGUACCCCGAGGAAAAGAAAUCAACCGAGAUUCCCCCAGUAGCGGCGAGCGAACGGGGAGGAGCCCAGAGCCUGAAUCAGUGUGUGUGUUAGUGGAAGCGUCUGGAAAGGCGCGCGAUACAGGGUGACAGCCCCGUACACAAAAAUGCACAUGCUGUGAGCUCGAUGAGUAGGGCGGGACACGUGGUAUCCUGUCUGAAUAUGGGGGGACCAUCCUCCAAGGCUAAAUACUCCUGACUGACCGAUAGUGAACCAGUACCGUGAGGGAAAGGCGAAAAGAACCCCGGCGAGGGGAGUGAAAAAGAACCUGAAACCGUGUACGUACAAGCAGUGGGAGCACAGAGCAAUCUGUGUGACUGCGUACCUUUUGUAUAAUGGGUCAGCGACUUAUAUUCUGUAGCAAGGUUAACCGAAUAGGGGAGCCGAAGGGAAACCGAGUCUUAACUGGGCGUUAAGUUGCAGGGUAUAGACCCGAAACCCGGUGAUCUAGCCAUGGGCAGGUUGAAGGUUGGGUAACACUAACUGGAGGACCGAACCGACUAAUGUUGAAAAAUUAGCGGAUGACUUGUGGCUGGGGGUGAAAGGCCAAUCAAACCGGGAGAUAGCUGGUUCUCCCCGAAAGCUAUUUAGGUAGCGCCUCGUGAAUUCAUCUCCGGGGGUAGAGCACUGUUUCGGCAAGGGGGUCAUCCCGACUUACCAACCCGAUGCAAACUACGAAUACCGGAGAAUGUUAUCACGGGAGACACACGGCGGGUGCUAACGUCCGUCGUGAAGAGGGAAACAACCCAGACCGCCAGCUAAGGUCCCAAAGUCAUGGUUAAGUGGGAAACGAUGUGGGAAGGCCCAGACAGCCAGGAUGUUGGCUUAGAAGCAGCCAUCAUUUAAAGAAAGCGUAAUAGCUCACUGGUCGAGUCGGCCUGCGCGGAAGAUGUAACGGGGCUAAACCAUGCACCGAAGCUGCGGCAGCGACGCUUAUGCGUUGUUGGGUAGGGGAGCGUUCUGUAAGCCUGUGAAGGUGUGCUGUGAGGCAUGCUGGAGGUAUCAGAAGUGCGAAUGCUGACAUAAGUAACGAUAAAGCGGGUGAAAAGCCCGCUCGCCGGAAGACCAAGGGUUCCUGUCCAACGUUAAUCGGGGCAGGGUGAGUCGACCCCUAAGGCGAGGCCGAAAGGCGUAGUCGAUGGGAAACAGGUUAAUAUUCCUGUACUUGGUGUUACUGCGAAGGGGGGACGGAGAAGGCUAUGUUGGCCGGGCGACGGUUGUCCCGGUUUAAGCGUGUAGGCUGGUUUUCCAGGCAAAUCCGGAAAAUCAAGGCUGAGGCGUGAUGACGAGGCACUACGGUGCUGAAGCAACAAAUGCCCUGCUUCCAGGAAAAGCCUCUAAGCAUCAGGUAACAUCAAAUCGUACCCCAAACCGACACAGGUGGUCAGGUAGAGAAUACCAAGGCGCUUGAGAGAACUCGGGUGAAGGAACUAGGCAAAAUGGUGCCGUAACUUCGGGAGAAGGCACGCUGAUAUGUAGGUGAAGUCCCUCGCGGAUGGAGCUGAAAUCAGUCGAAGAUACCAGCUGGCUGCAACUGUUUAUUAAAAACACAGCACUGUGCAAACACGAAAGUGGACGUAUACGGUGUGACGCCUGCCCGGUGCCGGAAGGUUAAUUGAUGGGGUUAGCGCAAGCGAAGCUCUUGAUCGAAGCCCCGGUAAACGGCGGCCGUAACUAUAACGGUCCUAAGGUAGCGAAAUUCCUUGUCGGGUAAGUUCCGACCUGCACGAAUGGCGUAAUGAUGGCCAGGCUGUCUCCACCCGAGACUCAGUGAAAUUGAACUCGCUGUGAAGAUGCAGUGUACCCGCGGCAAGACGGAAAGACCCCGUGAACCUUUACUAUAGCUUGACACUGAACAUUGAGCCUUGAUGUGUAGGAUAGGUGGGAGGCUUUGAAGUGUGGACGCCAGUCUGCAUGGAGCCGACCUUGAAAUACCACCCUUUAAUGUUUGAUGUUCUAACGUUGACCCGUAAUCCGGGUUGCGGACAGUGUCUGGUGGGUAGUUUGACUGGGGCGGUCUCCUCCUAAAGAGUAACGGAGGAGCACGAAGGUUGGCUAAUCCUGGUCGGACAUCAGGAGGUUAGUGCAAUGGCAUAAGCCAGCUUGACUGCGAGCGUGACGGCGCGAGCAGGUGCGAAAGCAGGUCAUAGUGAUCCGGUGGUUCUGAAUGGAAGGGCCAUCGCUCAACGGAUAAAAGGUACUCCGGGGAUAACAGGCUGAUACCGCCCAAGAGUUCAUAUCGACGGCGGUGUUUGGCACCUCGAUGUCGGCUCAUCACAUCCUGGGGCUGAAGUAGGUCCCAAGGGUAUGGCUGUUCGCCAUUUAAAGUGGUACGCGAGCUGGGUUUAGAACGUCGUGAGACAGUUCGGUCCCUAUCUGCCGUGGGCGCUGGAGAAUUGAGGGGGGCUGCUCCUAGUACGAGAGGACCGGAGUGGACGCAUCACUGGUGUUCGGGUUGUCAUGCCAAUGGCACUGCCCGGUAGCUAAAUGCGGAAGAGAUAAGUGCUGAAAGCAUCUAAGCACGAAACUUGCCCCGAGAUGAGUUCUCCCUGACUCCUUGAGAGUCCUGAAGGAACGUUGAAGACGACGACGUUGAUAGGCCGGGUGUGUAAGCGCAGCGAUGCGUUGAGCUAACCGGUACUAAUGAACCGUGAGGCUUAACCUU